UACGUAGGGGCCAAGCGUUGUCCGGAUUUAUUGGGCGUAAAGAGCUCGUAGGCGGCUUGUCACGUCGGGUGUGAAAGCCCGGGGCUUAACCCCGGGUCUGCAUUCGAUACGGGCAGGCUAGAGUGUGGUAGGGGAGAUCGGAAUUCCUGGUGUAGCGGUGAAAUGCGCAGAUAUCAGGAGGAACACCGAUGGCGAAGGCGGAUCUCUGGGCCAUUACUGACGCUGAGGAGCGAAAGCGUGGGGAGCGAACAGG
rnacentral:rRNA from 1 species